CCAAACGCCAUUUCCCUUUCUUAUCCACAGCAAAACUGUAAUUCCACGUUCCAAAAGAAAAUAAUACCUAAAACAUUCGAAACCACACUUCCUCUGCUUCCUAAACCCUGUACAUUCUUCAACGUCAAACCCUAACCCUAAUAGCCCUAAUGGAAGUUAGUCCUUUACACGGUAGUUGCAUUUCAUCUCCAAUUUGCUCUUCUCCUUCUUCUUCUUCUUCUUCGGAUCGUCCUCUCUCGGUUCUCUCUAGGGUUUCAAUCUCAGCUCGGAGGAACCCUAGGCUCGUGUCUUCCUUCAGAUCGGCUCGCCGGAGAAAUUUGUGCUCGGCGCAGAGCUCCGAGACGUUAUUAGCCGGAAAAGAUGGGAAGCCGAAGCAUCGGGAAGUUGUGAGCAAGAAAGAUGAGGAGGUGGAGCUUAGGGACUUGAAAUCUUGGAUGCACAAGAAUGGGCUCCCUCCUUGCAAGGUUGAGCUCAAGGAGAGGCCCUCUCACGAUGCGAAGCACAGGCCGAUACAUUAUGUCGCAGCGAGCGAAGAUCUUCAGGUGGGUGAUGUUGCAUUCUCUGUUCCGGAUUCGCUGGUCGUGACGCUUGAGAGGGUUUUGGGGAACGAGACCAUUGCGGAAUUAUUAACUACAAACAAGUUGUCAGAAUUGGCAUGCUUGGCAUUGUAUCUGAUGUAUGAGAAGAAGCAGGGAAAGAAGUCUUUCUGGUACCCAUACAUUAGAGAGCUUGAUCGUCAGCGAGGGAGGGGACAGCUUGCAGUGGAAUCUCCCCUUCUAUGGUCAGAAGCUGAACUGGCAUACCUGACAGGCAGCCCCACAAAGGCUGAAGUUCUUGAAAGGGCUGAAGGAAUUAAAAGGGAGUACAGUGAGCUUGACACUGUCUGGUUUAUGGCUGGGUCUCUGUUUCAGCAAUACCCAUAUGAUAUUCCUACUGAGGCCUUUCCAUUUGAGAUAUUUAAACAAGCAUUUGUUGCGGUUCAGUCCUGUGUCGUACAUUUACAGAAAGUUAGUUUGGCGCGGAGAUUUGCUUUGGUUCCUCUCGGACCACCGCUACUGGCUUACAGAAGCAAAAGCAAGGCAAUGUUAACUGCUGUUGAUGGUGCUGUUGAACUAGUGGUUGACCGCCCAUACAAGGCUGGGGACUCCAUUGUUGUUUGGUGUGGACCACAGCCUAACUCAAAAUUGCUUUUAAACUAUGGUUUUGUUGAUGAAGAUAAUUCUUAUGAUCGAUUGGUAGUUAAGGCUGCCUUGAAUACUGAGGAUCCUCAAUACCAGAAUAAAAGGAUGGUUGCACAAAGAAAUGGAAAACUAUCAAUUCAAGUCUUUCAUGUGUAUGUGGGGAAGGAAAAAGAAGCUGUCUCAGAUAUGCUUCCUUAUUUGCGUUUGGGCUAUGUUUCAGAUUCUUCUGAGAUGCAAUCUGUUAUUUCUUCUCAAGGUCCUAUUUGUCCAGUGAGCCCUUGUAUGGAACGAGCAGUGUUAGACCAACUUGUUGAUUAUUUUAUUGCACGGCUUGCUGCUUACCCUACUACAUUGGACGAAGACGAGUCGUGGUUGGCAGACAGUAAUCUGGACCCAAAGAAGCGGGUUGCUACUCGGCUUGUUAGGUUGGAAAAGAAAAUGCUUCAUGCAUGCCUGCAGGCGACAGUUGAUUUGAUAAACCAGUUACCAGAUCACACUGUAUCUCCAUGCCCAGCUCCUUAUGCCCCUUUAUUGAAAUAAAAGAAAUCCAAUAUCCUUUGUAUGGAACUUUGCAGUACUUGGGUAUAUCAGUUCAAAUGGAAGAACAUAAUCCAGCUGCAUUUAAGAGGCUUGUAGCACUUAGAGCAACCUACAAAUGGCUCUAGUGGCUGUUAAAGAGAGAUAAUCAUGCAUUGUCAAGCAAGCUCAGAACUCCAUGUUUUAUUGGUUCUUCGGCAUAUUAUUCCAGUACCUUUCCCUUCACCUUCCCUUUGCUCUCACCACUUCUCCUUUCCUCAAAAGGUGUAACUGUAUCUGUAAAUGGCCGUGUGGGAUCGCCUCUGUGAAUGAAGAGAAUAGAAAAAAAAGAAUACAUUGAUUUUGGGGAUGCAUAGAUAUUUUUAGUUCAUGUUUCUUUGUAAAUGCAGUUAUGAAUGAUAAAAUCUAAUUCAAUCAUGUUUGCAACUUCUUGUUUACAAA